rnacentral:rRNA from 1 species
GGCGGCGUGCUUAACACAUGCAAGUGGUGCGACGAACCAGGGCUUGCCCUGGGGCAAAGCCGCGAACGGGUGAGUAACACGUGAGUAACCUGCCCCGAUGACCGGGACAACCCGAGGAAACUCGGGCUAAUACCGGAUGUGGUACAUGGAUUUAAGUCUGUGUACUAAAGGAAGCUUCGGCCUCCGCAUUGGGAGGGGCUCGCGGCCCAUUAGCUUGUUGGUGGGGUAACGGCCUACCAAGGCAACGAUGGGUAGCUGGUCUGAGAGGACGAUCAGCCACACUGGGACUGAGACACGGCCCAGACUCCUACGGGAGGCAGCAGUGGGGAAUCUUGCGCAAUGCGCGAAAGCGUGACGCAGCAACGCCGCGUGGGGGAAGACGGCCUUCGGGUUGUAAACCCCUUUCAGGAGGGACGAAGGUUCACCGGUGAAUAGCCGUGUGGAUUGACGGUACCUCCAGAAGAA